UACGUAGGUGGCGAGCGUUGUCCGGAUUUACUGGGCGUAAAGGGAGCGUAGGCGGACUUUUAAGUGAGAUGUGAAAUACCCGGGCUUAACUUGGGUGCUGCAUUUCAAACUGGAAGUCUAGAGUGCAGGAGAGGAGAAUGGAAUUCCUAGUGUAGCGGUGAAAUGCGUAGAGAUUAGGAAGAACACCAGUGGCGAAGGCGAUUCUCUGGACUGUAACUGACGCUGAGGCUCGAAAGCGUGGGGAGCAAACAGGAUUAGAUACCCGCGUAGU
rnacentral:rRNA from 1 species